UAAAUUGUUGAACCAAACUAAUCUUUUAAAAAUUAUUUUUGCUAGUAUAUCUGACUCCAAACCAUUAAAAAUAUCAAAUUUAACUGUAGUUUUCCUAUGAAGAUAUUUUUCAAAACAUUAAUAAGUUCCUUAGUCUAUUUUUCUAUAGGAAUUUAUGAUACUUGAUGUUGCCAAGAAAUUGGGGUAACAGAUUCUUUUUGUAAACAUUCUGCCAGGUUUAGGCCCAGCAAAAGUAUUUGUUUAGUUCUCUGCUAUAUCUUUUUGUUGCUGGCUGUAAAAAGAAAAUAAUGUAGGGGGGAGAAUUGCUGUUGCUUUUUAAUAUCAUGUCAACAGUGCUUAAGAAUAAGCAGAUAAUAUGCAAACUUGUCAAAGACAGGCCAAUAUAAUUUUUUCCAUUUUGAAUGCAUUCUUAAUAUCAACAAGUUUUAAGAGCAUGCAUUGACACACCAAAGUUUAAUAAAUUAAGUUUUCCAAACCCACAUGUAUCAGUACUCUUUUCAUAACUCUAGGAACAUUAGCAAGCUUUGUAUGAAACACAACAAUUCAUAUGUUGAUAAAGACUCUCAAUCAUCCACCCAAAGGUAUCUAUCAUUAAAUAAAUAUUCAUAUCUUUGUCUGACCUGCCUGCAAAAUAAUGAACCGGACAAAAUCCACCUACAAUCUACCCAUCCCAUUCUAUCAAUCUCAAUAGCAAUAGGGGGCUGAUUGGCACAUGCUGUUGUACGGAUUAGGUUGGAGAAUGGUUAGGAGAACAAAAAGGGCAGCAAAUUAAUUGUCCAAUUGAAAUUCAAUCAGAAUAUUCAAAAUAGAGCCACUUGAAACUUGUUUCAUGUUUUGAACAUUCAAAACAGCCCUUAGUAGAUUGGAAUGCUUUCCACAUCUCUAAUAUGUACAUUGAUAGUAUCAUUUGCUUUUUGCUACGAGAUAUAGCAGCAUCUUUAAUCACAGUUAAUCACAGAAAAUUUAUUUACAUUUGCAGUAUGAGAUAGAUUUAGUACAUUCUUUUAAAAGCAAUGCAUCCAUUUCAUGUUAGGAUAAUAUGGGGGUCUAUUAAAAACAAAACUCUUUAACAAUUGACUCAAAAACUGGAUCCUUUUAUAUUGAGAUACCUUUUCCAUAUCCAAAAUUCUUGAAGCUUAAUAAAACCCAAAGAAAACCCAAUAUUGUUUGUAAAAACAAGGAGGCUGAACCAAGACUACCUAACCAUUACUAAGCACAUUCACUAUAAGGAAUGCCAGCACAGAUUAUGUUUUCAGGGCAGGAGGUGGAAUAAGUCCUAAAAAGGGCAUGGCUAUCUGGAAUUCUGAAUAGUCAGGAAUCUCUAUAAUUUUUCCUGCGGAUCCAAUUUCAUCAUAAUUAUGUAGAAGCCUAUGCAACUUUAAGACAGCUAAAAUGCAGUGUUAGUCAUUAUAGGAAACAAACAUAAAUUUACUGGGACUGGAAAAAAAAUUAAAACAUAUAUCUUGAUCACAGAUUUAAUAUUACUUAGAUAUGGAUUACUUCCACAGCACUUAUUUUAAAAUAACACACUGCAUAAGUAUUUUUUUAAAGUAAGUUUGAGAAAUAUAGCUCACUGCAACCAUAAACAUGAAAAUUAUAUAGUGACACAUAGUGGCUUGCUAAUUCUGUAAUUUCAUUUUUUCCAGAGGUUUUAGUCAUCCUCAUAAUUAACAGAACGCUUAGCAAAUAAUUCGUCCCCAAAGCAAAAAAAAAUAAAAUGUGCCAAUUAGAAACACAUCUUAUUCUUCUGGUUAUUGGAAGGAUUGGUUCCUUUUGCAAAGUUAGUGGCCUAUUCCUUGAAAUGCAGAAUCGCAAUUAAAAUUAAAAUGUCAUUUUUAUUUUUGGUAGAAGUGUGAAAUUUCUAAAGCAUCCUGCUCCAUCACCCCAACCAUUGAUAUUCACAAUAUUUCAAUCUGUGUGGCUUAUGCCCUAUAUAUUGUACAUAUAAAUAUUUCCGCCACUGCAAAUACACAUUGCUUAUAGUUUUCUGUAUCCCGGAAGUUGAGAUGAUGUCAUAUAUAUAUAUAUAUAUAUAUAUAUAUAUAUAUAUAUAUAUAUAUAUAUAUAUAUAUAUAUAUAUAUAUAUAUAUAUAUAAUUAAAUUGAUUCGUCAAAGUUAAAACAAAUAUUAUGCGGUCUACCUCUUUUAUCAGGGGCUAAUCUUCCUGAAUAGAGUUUAUUAUUAAAGGAACAGACGCAGGAUCCAGCACUGCGGAUCUUGUAAUCUCCAACUUUAAGGUUAUGUACCAGCACGGCCCCCGAUUUCCUAUUCCUGUUUUAUCUAAACAAGGGCUUUUAUUACAGUGCAGCUUUACAACCGCUUCUCUCUUUUUUUCCAAUAUGGUCCUCUAUAACUUCAACUAUCACGAGGAAAAAGCCAAAAAAAAAAAAAAAAAGGCUGCACCUUCGGCUGCGGGAUGGCUCAGAAGCAUCGGCUGAAUUUAGGAUCUGGGCGGCGCUUAAUGCCUCUUGAACCGGUUUGCACAUUUGCAUCAUCGGCGCAGCCUCUCAUCGCCUCGGCAACUGCAGGAGCGAGCGGUACAGAACAGAACAUUUCCCUCCCCCGAAGAGCUCGGCGUUCUUUUCUCCACCUCUCUCCGCCUCCCCCCGCAUUUGGGCGAGUUCGAGCUGUUCUUCUUCCGACCGGCUCCACCACGUGGCUGCCCAUCUUAACUGGGCCGCGCACUCGUGACAGCUUGCCAAAACGAAAACAAGGCAAAAUAAUCCCAAUCGCUCUGCGGACAGCUACGUUACUCCCGACGCAUUCCAAGCCCAGGAGCAGGAAGCGAUCGAUUAGAGGGGAGCAGAAACUAUCGCUUUUGCUCGUCAUGGGCAAAGAACCCAAAUCAGGCUCUCUUGUAAUUAUUUUUCUCUCUCUUCGACAAUCAAAACAAAGACAGGCAGAAGCCUCCAAUCUUUAUGGGAGAGAUUCAAAAAUAACCAGAUCCCACGCUAAUCAUUCGACUGCUGAUCUUACCUUCCUACAGCGUUCAUUUGCAUCCCAUCUUUAACUACCUAUAUUUCCUCUCUUCUUCUGACGCACUUCAGUUUCUCGGACUGCCAUUCCUACGCAGUUCGUCCCGCUGUAUUGCGUUUCAAAUUACAGAUACUGUUUUCCAGUGUGAUGGUCAAACUCCUCCUUUGUAAUUCUGUGGCACUGGCGUAUUGCAUGAACAGCGCCGGUGGUCACUCCUUCAAAUGACACACAAAAAUAUUUUUGUUUACUUCCCUUUGCCGUGUCUUUUAACUGGCACCCUUUCUCAACCUCAGAAGGCCGGCUGCGUAAGCUGGUGGAAAUCGAGAACACCUUUUCUGUAUAGCCGCCUACUACUAACUGCAUUCGUUUUCCCCUCACCCGUCCUCUCUAAGCAUGUCCAGACGUGGAGACACCUCUCCAGCAAAAGUACAGUCCGACCCUUAAAAAGCACAAGAACUUCCUGCCUCCCACCAUUCUCUACGUUUAUUUCGAGAAUGAACAAGUGAGUCUUGAAGAGGCCUCUCAGCUUUGCUAUUGGCUCUGCCUGAUAUACCUCCGCAUUUUUAUUGGCUGAAGGGAAAAGGAGGAAAGAAGAACAUGCUGCCAUUUGUUUGCAUGCUUAAAUCUCAAUAUGAUGGAGUGCCUAUUGACCAGAGGGGAACCCACUGCUCCUCAACUGAACAAUUGGAAUCUGGCAAAUGCCAGCCCUGACUGCAUCUUUCCCAAGAUCAGGAAUGAAGCAUGGUAAAUUGUAUGCCAAGACAUCUGUUAGAAGGAGAAAGAAAAGGCUUUUAAAACUGGAAUAGCUGAGGAUGAAUUUAUGGAAAUAAAAUGGAGUUUAUCAUAGUCUGUAAUGAUUCUCAGUCAUCCAGGUCAUGAUCGUCCCAAUGUGCUUUUUUAAGAGGCAGUUGGAUUUUCUUGUUUUUUCUUUUGAAGACGUUUCGCUUCUCAUCCAACAAGCUUCUUCAGCUCUGAUAGGACUGUGGAGAAAGGAAGUAAGCAUCUAGGCAAUCCUCCUUACCUGCUAAUGUUUGAACAACUCUGUUUUUUCUGUUAAAGAACACUGAGAGACGCUUUUACCAUUUUUUGACCUACCUAGAAUGAUUGCUGGUCCUAAGGUCAAGCAAAUUCACAGUUCUGAACAUUCUCCAUCAUUUAAUUUAAAUGGCUCUCUUAAUUUCUCCUGUCUUUAAAAUAUAAUGUAGGCGUGUUUUCCAAAAACAGACAGUAGAGGGUAGCAUUGCACCAGGCAUCAGCUUUAAAUAACCUUCUUUUUAUUUCCAUAAUCAUGUUAAGCAAAUUGUGUACCCCUCUGGAAUAAAUGCUACUGCUUAUGAGUGACUAUUAUAGAGCUCUUCCAUACAGCCAAGUUAAAGUGAAACCUACAUCUCGUUGAUCCACAUAAAAGUAUGCCUGCACAAUAAAUUGUGUUAUUUCCAUUGCUGAUCUCUAUUUUGCCAUAGUAGCAGCAUUGAUGAAUGGUGGUGUCCUUACUGAUUUAAUGUGAGCCAAAUUAAGGAAAGCAAUUGGUUAAUUCUACUGCCUUUCCUCCUCCCAUCAAAUGUUACUUGUCAGUUCUAGAAGCAAUCACAAAUCAAAUCUCCCUAGACAGUUGUGAGGCAAGUUUUGUUAUCAUUUCAAUGGCUGCAAUAGCAGAUUUUACUGCCUGUCAAUUUGCAAGCAAAGAGUGAAAUUUGGAGGGCUGUAUGCAGUGGUGGGAUUCAAAUAAUUUAACAACCGGUUCUCUGUCCUAAUAAUUUCUUCCAACAGCCAGUUCA